AUGAACGCUAGCUACAGGCUUAACACAUGCAAGUCGAGGGGCAGCAUGGUCUUAGCUUGCUAAGGCCGAUGGCGACCGGCGCACGGGUGAGUAACACGUAUCCAACCUGCCGUCUACUCUUGGACAGCCUUCUGAAAGGAAGAUUAAUACAAGAUGGCAUCAUGAGUCCGCAUGUUCACAUGAUUAAAGGUAUUCCGGUAGACGAUGGGGAUGCGUUCCAUUAGAUAGUAGGCGGGGUAACGGCCCACCUAGUCUUCGAUGGAUAGGGGUUCUGAGAGGAAGGUCCCCCACAUUGGAACUGAGACACGGUCCAAACUCCUACGGGAGGCAGCAGUGAGGAAUAUUGGUCAAUGGGCGAGAGCCUGAACCAGCCAAGUAGCGUGAAGGAUGACUGCCCUAUGGGUUGUAAACUUCUUUUAUAAAGGAAUAAAGUCGGGUAUGGAUACCCGUUUGCAUGUACUUUAUGAAUAAGGAUCGGCUAACUCCGUGCCAGCAGCCGCGGUAAUACGGAGGAUCCGAGCGUUAUCCGGAUUUAUUGGGUUUAAAGGGAGCGUAGAUGGAUGUUUAAGUCAGUUGUGAAAGUUUGCGGCUCAACCGUAAAAUUGCAGUUGAUACUGGAUAUCUUGAGUGCAGUUGAGGCAGGCGGAAUUCGUGGUGUAGCGGUGAAAUGCUUAGAUAUCACGAAGAACUCCGAUUGCGAAGGCAGCCUGCUAAGCUGCAACUGACAUUGAGGCUCGAAAGUGUGGGUAUCAAACAGGAUUAGAUACCCUGGUAGUCCACACGGUAAACGAUGAAUACUCGCUGUUUGCGAUAUACGGCAAGCGGCCAAGCGAAAGCGUUAAGUAUUCCACCUGGGGAGUACGCCGGCAACGGUGAAACUCAAAGGAAUUGACGGGGGCCCGCACAAGCGGAGGAACAUGUGGUUUAAUUCGAUGAUACGCGAGGAACCUUACCCGGGCUUAAAUUGCAGAUGAAUUACGGUGAAAGCCGUAAGCCGCAAGGCAUCUGUGAAGGUGCUGCAUGGUUGUCGUCAGCUCGUGCCGUGAGGUGUCGGCUUAAGUGCCAUAACGAGCGCAACCCUUGUUGUCAGUUACUAACGGGUUCUGCUGAGGACUCUGACAAGACUGCCAUCGUAAGAUGUGAGGAAGGUGGGGAUGACGUCAAAUCAGCACGGCCCUUACGUCCGGGGCUACACACGUGUUACAAUGGGGGGUACAGAGGGCCGCUACCACGCGAGUGGAUGCCAAUCCCCAAAACCUCUCUCAGUUCGGACUGGAGUCUGCAACCCGACUCCACGAAGCUGGAUUCGCUAGUAAUCGCGCAUCAGCCACGGCGCGGUGAAUACGUUCCCGGGCCUUGUACACACCGCCCGUCAAGCCAUGGGAGCCGGGGGUACCUGAAGUGCGUAACCGCGAGGAGCGCCCUAGGGUAAAACUGGUGACUGGGGCU
rnacentral:rRNA from 1 species